GACGAACGCUGGCGGCGUGCCUAACACAUGCAAGUCGAACGGAAAGGCCCUGCUUUUGUGGGGUGCUCGAGUGGCGAACGGGUGAGUGACACGUGUGUAACCUGCCCUUGUCUUUGGGAUAACUUCAGGGAACUGGGGCUCAAACCGGAUAGGAUCUCCUGCUGCAUGGGGUGGGUUGGAAAGUUUCGGCGGUUGGGGAUGGACUCGCGGGUUAUCAGCUUGUUGGUGGGGUAGUGGAUUACGAAGGCUUUGACGGGUAGCCGGCCUGAGAGGGUGACCGGCCACAUGGGGCCUGAGAUAGGGCCCAGACUGCUACGGGAGGCAGCAGUGGAGAGUAUGGCACAAUGGGCGGAAGCCUGAUGCAGCAACGUCGCGUGCGGGAUGACGGCCUUCGGGUUGUAAACCGCUUUCGCCUGUGACGAAGCGUGAGUGACGGUAAUGGGUAAAGAAGCACCGGCUAACUACGUG
rnacentral:rRNA from 1 species